GUUUGCAUGACUGACCUUACCCUAUGAUGUGCGUGUAGUGUAAUAUAUUUUUGAUGUAUAUUUAAGCCCCUUUUUACACUUUUAGCCAAGUUUUAAAUUUAUAAAACACGAUAUUCACUAACACUAAACACACAUAUGGGCAAGUGCACCCAUCGUGGACGUAGUAUAGUGUUGGUAAGAUACCGAGGUCGUCCAAGGACACAAGAGCUUUUAAUACCGGUUUAUCCUCAACGUCUAAUCAAAUCAAAAAGUGAGAAAAAUGUUUUAAUCUAAGAAAAUAAAAACUAACUAAAUGCUGAAAAAUAAAAUAAAAUAAAAACAGAUAGACAAGAUGAAUCACUUGGAUCCAACACGUGUAUUAGCCCCUCUUUUGAAGGCGACGUUACCCCCAACCCAGUAGUUUGAGUCAGCAAGGAUACAAUCCUAAAGGGUCGGAUUAUUGAAAGAUAAUGAAUUAAGUUAUUAAUGCAAAUUGUGGUAGGCCCCGCUUUCGGCGGUGACGUUACCCUCGGCUAAGUAGUCUGAGUCAGCAGGGAUACAGUCCUAAAUAGCCGGGUUAUAGUAUUAAUAGUAGUUAACUUAUGAGGGGGUCAAAGAGUUUGGAUCCCCGCCAUCCAAUACCUAUGGGCAUUGAAGGAGAUCCUACUAAAUUUGACCCAGGUCCCAAGCAGGACCUCUAAACGCUGAACAAGGGCAAGACCCUUACCAAACCGUUCCCUUAACCCCCGACCAGGUAGCUAACAUACCUCCAUAUAGACCGUGGAGAUAUGAAUGGUGAAAAUCUUUUAUUUUAUAUAGACAGUAAAAUAACGCCAAGACACCACGGACAAACGAUAAGUAAAGAUCACCUUCAACAUAAGUAACUAGUUAUUAAAGUCAUUAAUAC
rnacentral:lncRNA from 1 species